GGGGAUGUGGCUCAAUAGCAGAGCACUUGCCUGGCAUGUGGGAAGCUCUGGGUUUGAUCCACAGCAUCACAA
rnacentral:tRNA from 1 species